GUGUACCCCUUGCUUUCCGUACAUUUUUAAAACAAGAAAAUUGUGCCAUCUGGUUUGCUUAAUAUAAGGAAUGAACAUAUAUUAAGGGGGUGAACAUAAAACACCCUAGAUGAACCAUUAUCUGGCAUUAUCCACAACAGCAUUCUUUCUUCAUUGACCGGUUUUGCCAAUGUAAGCGCCGCUGUGUCUGCCAGUAGUGAAGGCCGGGACAGAGCCAUAUGUCGGAGUGGCUCAUGUACUGGGGAAGGAAGGAUGGAGUCAUAUUUGGUAGUUAAAAUCCCAAUGUCAUAAAGCAUGGACGUCCGAAAAUAGCUGGGCACUGCCAAGUCCAAAAAAACGGAGGACCACCAUGUCGAGACUGAUGCCGAGCUCACCGAGUAGAGUAGCCUGCUAGCCAGACAACUAACAUCACAAGCACCUCCGUUACCCCAGCCACUAGCAUCUGACAACCUCGGUGAUGAUGAGCCAGCACAGGUUGGGACCAACAUGGUUGAGUACCUGCACCAGGCGGAGGUGACCAGACCCUACCCAUUUGUGUUGGUUCUUCGGGACUGCUCACGGUUGUUUACAGUCAUUAGUGGACCGGCAAUGGAGCAAGGUACACUGCUUGGGUCACAGGAUGUGUGCUUCAAGUCUUAUUAUGUGUUUGAUAUCAACUUUCCCACUUUGCCCCAGCAUGGGAAUUCCUAUAGACCAUGGUGUAUCAGCUGCCAGAUACAGUAUCUCCUGCAGUAAGACUGUUGCAAGCAUGUAUUUUUUCCACUGAACAAUAGUGGAUAAGUAUCUGCUCUUGUAUGUAGUGUGAGAAGGGACCGGAGGAAACAAGUGUUCCUGUGAAUUAAUAGAUCAAUGGAUGGAUGGAUGGAUGAGCCACGAGGUUCUCAUUCCAUUGCUCUUAAGGCACUAUUUAUAGCUUUUUGCCUACAGUACAGUAUGUAUCUCAUUUGCCUUUAGUUUAACUACUGAAGCAUGUUCUGGUACAUAUUCAUUCUAUCGUAACAAUUUAUUUUAAAUACAAAUGUUACAUUUUGGGGAUUGUGAUUGAGUCAUUAGUCCAUGUCCUUAGUAUAGUGACCUUCAAAUGUAAUAUUUUACACUUGUUCUGUGUAACAAUGUUUUAAUUCGACCCAAAUGUAGACCAUUAUUGUAUGGCAAAACAGCAUGUGUGUGCUGUCACCUAAGAUAGUCGAAGUGUGUCAGUGAACGUGAAUAUCUACUGAUUUACCUCUGCCUUAAGUGGUAUUAACACAGAUCUGUGUUAAUACCACUUAAGACAGACAGUGUCACAUGCACGCAUGCUUUGUUUUUUCUCCAAUUUCAAGUGUGCACAUCAAUUUCAACUGAGGCUUUAGUCUGAUGUUUGGAAUGUUUGGUUCAUGAAAUAAUAUUAAUAAAUUCUAAUAAUCAAUCCUAUUUUAUGAAAUCUUAUCUUGUAAAAUAAUACACAGAGUAUUUAGGACAAUAGGGCUUUGUUUCAAUGUGCUAUUUAAAAAUAUAUAUAUUCUUGUACAUUCUCU